GUGAUCACUUUGGCAGCACAGACACUAAAAGUAGAACAAUACAGAGAAGAUGAGCAUGAGCCCUGUGAAAGGGUGACACCCAAAUUCUUGAAGUGUUCUAUAUUUUU